rnacentral:lncRNA from 1 species
UCAAGAUGGAACUGAGUGAGUUUGUGCUUUACUUUGUGCUUUCGCUACGUAUUGCAGUUUUAUGUUUAUGCAUUUAAUUAGCAACCUUACUGAUGAGCUACGGAUGAUUAAAUAAUCAAUCAAUUAUCUUAUUAGCUGAAUUAUUUGGUCAGUAAUAUCGAAACUUAUUAGUAUAAGGUUCACUAUAUUUUAUUCACUCAAAUGUCUUGCUCGCGUACAAGUCACGUGCUUUAAUGUAAGAAUAUGCUUUCGUGGUUUUAGGCUUCGACUGCCAUUUUUAGCAUGUAAGGAAUCCACAUGGUGGUUUUCUCUUCCCGUAUGUUUUCAUACACUAUUGUAUAUAUAUAUAUAUAUGUAUGUGUGUGUGUGUGUAUAUAUACACUUAUAUACACUAUGCAACACAUAUCGCCUCAGUUUUGCGAGUUGGCUCAUCUCCCAUUGAUUCCGAAUGGUUUCUCAGCCUCAUUAUAAUUGCUCUGAUUUCUUCUGUUAACUUCUGUGGGUUUUUUUUCCCCUUUGACACUUUUGUUCAUUUAAAAAAAACUCUUCACAAACAGAUGUCUGUAUGUGGUCUCUGACCCUGUUAGAAACACCAACAAAAUUCUUCUAAAAGAAUAUUGUAUGUGCCUUGAAAAAUAAAGAUUAGAUUAGGCAAUUAUUUUCAUAGAUUAAUUAAUCUUACUAGUUAAAACACACUGAAUGACGGAGCCUCUCCGUAGUCGCCCAGCAUACUAGACAUAGCAGCAAAGCUCCCCCUCAUUGCAGACCCUAACUUCAGACGCAGUGAAACCGUCCGCCACAAGACCUGCUUACGUCUACCGCGGGUUUUUAAAAAUACAAUUUAUGGCUUUACUUAAUCAAUAUUAAUGGCUAACAGUCUCAGAAAAAAAUUGUUACAUGUAAAGAUAAACAAUUGCCAUCUAAAGUUUUAUUUUAAAUAAACAAAAUUUAUAUAUUUUAGAGUUUUUAAAAACUUAUUUUAAAACUUGAUGCAAAAUGUGUUCCUUAUUUGUCAUUUGGUCUUUUCUGUAGAACCCCGCUUUGGUAUUUCAGUGCGACACUCCACUGUGACACUUCAGGGUACUUCCACCCCAGUGAAUGCGAUGUUAUUGGUCAUAACAUUUAUAGGGUCUCCCCAAUUAUUGAUCAAUGAGAUCGAUAUUGAGUUGCAAUUUCUCGUGUUGGACAACUGUUAUUGGAAAUGGAGAGAAAGGAACUUGCCGAAGAUUUUGACAUUGGCCAGGAAUGACUGAGAUCUGCCUUUAUGUUUGUGAGAUAAGAUGCAGUAGAGAUGAUGAGAAACGGAGAGGAUGUAUCUGUUGGAGGAAGUUGGAGGGUGUGGAGUUUGAUAUUGCAGAGGAGCGGGUUCUGUCCUGGUUGCUGUCGAGGUGAAAAAGAAGAGUCGGCAGUUUUUUUUUUAUGUCAAUCAUAUUAAUAGGAAUUUUUCAGAACAUAGUUGACGAUGUUUGUGUAGCAGCGGCACCGUUUCAGAUGUGUGAUUUGAAGGGGAUUUGGUAGCUGUUUUUAGAAGUGUUGAGCGACCCCUUACAGGAUUCCCUCGUUCAAUCAUUAUGACAUCGAUCAGUUUUGCAGUAGUGUUAACAUCAUAUUAAGUAAUAUUUUUAUCAGCCCUGGGAGUGAUAAUGGCGGUACUUCCGUUUUUCUAUGUUGCAUUAUGUUGUUUUGGGUUGUGCUUAACAGAUUUUGUAGAGUGAAAUGUUGCCUUUUCUUUUAAUAAAGAUCAACCUUAACAGAACAACACUGAAAGGUUUGGUGAAUAUAAUUAAUUCUGGAGUGUUACAAUUGAUAGAAAUAGAAAGGAAGCUUCCAGACAUGAUCGGUUCUCAGUCCAUACCGGCCUAUGACUGCCCGUCUAUACCGGCCUGUGACUCUCCGUCUAUACAAGCCUAUGACUGUCCGUCUAUACCGGCCUAUGUCUGUCCGUCCGACGUACGACUGUUCGUUGGUAGUAGUUAAACAGAGUGAGGGUCUCUUGUAACUUCCCCAAUUUCAGAGUCGAGAGUUUUGGAGGUCGUAAAUUAAAUGAAAAAUAACUUCGUGUACUUGAUUGUCUUGCUGGCGAUGCGAUUGUGAAUUAUUGAUGGUUGAUGUCUUCUCUCCGAUGUUGUAAACUGUUGUAUGCGAGUCCCUAGGGUUUAUUUUGGGGCCGAGGCUUUGGGUUAUGAGUGGGAUGUGGGGAGGGUUAUACCUUGGGAAGAUGGCGUCGGUUUCCCGUUUAGAUGUCUCAGAUGGUCAAAGGAAAAGUACAUUUGUCAAGGGUUCUCAGCAUAGAAGGUAGAUCUUUGAGCAUUUCGUUCAUAUUAAUCCGAGAGGGUGGUGGUGGUGGUGGUGGUGGUGGAAUGUUUUGUAAAUUAGAAAGAUGUAAGAUGUGUUGUGUUAAUGAGGCGAUGGUCAAUUAAUACCAUGGAAACAUUAACGAGAUGGCGGAGUAAAAGAAAAUAUGAAGAGUCUUUGAUGAGAGAAGUUGAUAAGGAUGAGUUGGUAAAUGAUGUGGAUGGGUGAGGAGUGGACUCAGUAGACCUGAUGGGGGAUGGGGUGGGGGAGUAUGUGGGAGAGGCAGUAAGAGGACAUUUAUUCAUUAAAGUUCCACUGUAAAACUAAAUUUAAUUCAAACAGAGAAUCAAUUUGGAUUCGUUUUAGUCGAAGUCUGAUUGUUUCGGGCAAGAAAUACAAGAAGUAAAAUAUGAAAAUUGUACAAUCUCAGUUUGUCUCGUUGUUAGUGUUGUUGUUGUUGUAAAACAACAAAUCAAUAUUAAAUGCAAUUCCCAUCAACUAAAUCUAUCGAACACGUUUCAAACAAUUCGAUUCUACAGAUUAACUGCUUCUGUGAAUUCCUUCUUCACUUUGAUAGGUCGCCUGUAGGCAUAGGAUUUCGAAUCGAUGUAUCAUCGCUCUCCACUACGGAUGCCACCAACAACAACAACGCUUCAUCAAUAUAAACAAUAAACUAGUCUAGAGUUAUUCCAAUUGAACAAUUCACUUUAUGACAUUUUCAUUGGUAACUGAGAGAGAGUUUUGGUAAUAAAUAAAAGCACCAAGGGAGUGAUAUUUCUUCCUCUUGACUUGGGUUGAAGUUUAAUAUCUUUUUAGUAAAUCAUACGAAGAGACUCGACUAAAUGUGUGAUGUUAAUGUUUGUCCCCAGAAUAAAAGUGCGAAUUACAGAGUCUCCUGGGAUUGGCACUCUUUUUUCACAUCUAUAAUGGCUCCUGCAAGAUCUACUUUUUCUUCGUUCGACUUUCAGUGACCCUUGCGUUGUUUUCCCUUCCAUAAACGAUAAAAUGUCGGCUGCUUAUUUCUAAUAAGACAAGCAUAAGAAACAUUUCUCUCUCUCUCUCUCCCUCCCUCACCGUUAAAAUACCUGUUCGAGAAUAUUCCUAGGAAACAAUAUUCUCAAAAGACCACAUUCUUCACAUUCUAAAUACCGAUAAUAAUAAUAAUAAUAAUAAUAAUAAUAAUGAUGAUGAUGAUGAUAAUCUUCAUUGGUGUCAGCAUGAACAGAGAAGAAUGAGUGGAGCAUUGACGUAAACGCCAAACUGUAAUGAAAUACUGAGUUCAUACCCGGCUUGAAUCGCCUUAGCAUCGAUGGGGUUGGUAAAAUCAAUACCAGUAAUAUAUUAGGAUUCCACUCAAGUGUUUACAACUUAGCACUAAAUUUCAGACCUUAAAAAUAUAAUUAAAAGAUCAUUUAACUAGCUGACAGGCAUCGUGGUCCCUUUUAUUCCAGGGGCUGCUGUUUCUAUAAUUUGCAUCAAUUAACUUUAAUAACUCAGGUGUUAUUUUCACGUAACAACGUAAAAUGAAAUGUUUUGCUCGAGAAUAUAACACACUACCCGGCCCGGGAACCGAAACUAGAACCCUGCAAUGGUAAGUGCAACAUCGUAACCACUUGGCUACGCGCCUUCAACAAUAACAACAACAUUAUAUUGAAUAUAUUAGACGCGAUUGAAACCACCAUGUUUUACCAAAUAUGUUUAUUUCAUGAGAAAAACUGAGAAUAAGUAAAAAAUAACAGCAAAAUCUAUAAAAUAAAGCGCCAUCUAACGAGAAGUUUCUCUUAAAAGACUUUCUUGAUCCCAACAGUUCCACUGAAGAUUCCAUCCGUUCCUUGUCACCAUUUGUGUCCCUCAUCUUCUAUAAUUUCUCUCUUAUUUUCUGCCAUCUUGUGGAAAUCUUUGUUCCAAUUCUUCGACAAAAUUUGGCCGAUUCCCUUGAGAAAUCAGAUCCUGAUGAGGUCGAGGUCACUCAGUUCAAAAUAGUUUUAAAAACUGAAGGAUUAAUGAAUUUCCUUGGAAAUUAUGGUCAGUUUCCACUUUUCUGCUACGUUUUACGUCUUCACAAUCAUGGUUGAACCAGUUCCAUCAUCCCCGCCACCGGCACCACCACCGCUAGCGCCAUCCCCCUCCUCCUCCUCAUCAUCGUCGUCAUAUAUUUCACUGAAACGUUUACAGGCAAUGCUCCAUCUUGGCCGCAGUCUAAUCGAUGAAACCAAGGAAACAUAGAAUGCCAUCAUGAGUUGGUUCUACAUUAUGCUGUCCGUUAUCGAGAGCUGUUCAAUAACUGGACAAUAAUCGACUAAAAUCGAUAUUGGUGCGAUUGAUUGGAUCUUUCCUUCCAGCGUCCUCAGUUUUCAGAAUCGUUAUUGGUUUUAUCCAAAGACAUCUUUGAAUGCAGCUAAAUUCCUUGCAGGUUUGUCUCACAUCGAACAUUGGAUGAGUUCUUGGAAGUGGUCACGAGUGGAAUGGCAAACAGUACCACAUUUAUUUCGGUUCUUCCUCAUCCUCUAAGUUUUGUUUUAAUAGUCAGGUUGUUGUUGUUGCUGUUAAUAUUGGUGUUGGUUUUCCCAGGUCCGCCCUCUGGAAUAAACGUGUGAUUAAAGUUGUAGAAACCGUGGCCAUCCCGUCUAACUGUGCAACUGAUUGUCCAGUUGCUUUUCUUUUUUUUUAAGCAUGCAUGAUUUGAGGGUGAUUUGGUUGUUAUUUCUUGAAAGUCGAGCGAUCAGGUCGAGGCUCUCACGUUUUGUUUGUUCAAACCUGUUCUGUUUUGGCGAAAUUUCAGAAGAAAAGGAAGCAAAUUGGCAGCAGAACCCCCCCCCGCCCCACUCCCCACCGCCGGCCACAAAACAGCAACAAAAGAAAAACAAAAAUGUUUUUGUUGCGAAUCUGCUGAAAUUACAUCGGUUCUUCUUUGUAAAAGAGGUGUUGAAUAAUGAAGAUAUUAUACACUUUGAGUCGUAACAGAUACAACGAAGUGUUUUUGUACAAAGUGCAACUGGAAUUGGGAAUCAGAAGGAAAAUAUUUGUAGAAAAGAAAGAAAAUAAUUCGUGAAAAAUAAAAGAUCGAAAGAAAAGAAUAAAACGAUGAACAAACAAACAAUUUUUCUUUCCUCCAUUAGAUUCGUUUCUUCAGUAAAUUUCUUCCGGAAAACAUUCAAGUAUUUAAUCACUGCUACACAUACAAGAUGCCAAUCCUAUCGUCUGGUGUUCUUUCGGAUUUUAUUCAAUUUUUAAUAAGGCCAGCCUUUGCUGCAAUCUCUAGAAUUUGGUUGGAAAUUGGUUAAAUCAGCUGACUCUUCUCAAUAUCAAUGUCUUUGUUGUAGGGAAGAAGAAAUGAGAUGUUUUUAUUCCAUACAGACGAUCGACGGAGAUAACAUGGAAGGAAGAGGCAAACGUAUUUUAUUUAAUAAUGUGUCACAAAUAAAUGCGAAACACCCAGUAUUCGGUGAUUGUAGCAUCAAUAAUAUAACAGUAAUUUAGUACAAAAACGAUAUAUCUUUGCUUGAUGGUGAAACAGUUCCUCGUAUAAUUCGCCCCAUUUUUCCAGGGGAAAGAUCUCGGUGAAUUUAUUAAAAGAAACACUAUGUAAGUGAUAUUUUCCGGAGAUCGAGUGUAAUAUCAGUUGGCAAGUGCUGACAUCUAAAGGCGUAUAAAAGUCUAAUUGCUCUCCAGCAGAAAUAUCAUAAAAACAUGACCCAGUAGGGAAGUCCUGCCUUCUAUUGGCACUCAACAUCGGCAAGAAAGUAAUUAUACGAAAAUCUAGUUUCAUGAAACGAAAUGCAAAUUGCAUUUCUCAAUACAUCAUCAUCUUUUCUUUCUUUCUCUCGUCUUUUCAUCUCCUCCUUCUUCUUGAAAUCGUCUUUCUGCAAUUUAUGUUUGAUUCCUGCUUUCUAUUUCAAGAGUUAACCAAUAUGGAUGAGAAAAAAAAAACCAAAAAGAGAGGAAAAAAAAAAGAGAACCACAUCAACAACACGAGCAUCAACAACAAAUCUGAUGGAAAAAUAUGAAAGAAUUAAUGCUUUGCCUAACACUAGUAAUUAGAUUGAGGAAUAAAUAUAUACAAGAAAGGGAAGAGUUCUGGAUAAUAAAAUAUUGGAAAACAACUUUCAGCCAGGAAUCAAAAAUAAAGUUAAAAAAACAGAUAAAAAAA